rnacentral:rRNA from 1 species
GACGAACCGUGCGAACGUUAUUCGGAAUCACUGGGCUUAAAGCGCGUGUAGGCGGGAGGGUACGUCCGUCGCUGAAAUCCCCCGGCUCAACCGGGGAACGGGCGCGGAUACGACCUUCCUGGAGGGCGUAGGGGGACCUGGAACUUCCGGUGGAGCGGUGAAAUGCGUUGAGAUCGGAAGGAACGCCCGUGGCGAAAGCGAGGUCCUGGACGCCUACUGACGCUGAGACGCGAAAGCCAGGGGAGCGAACGGG